rnacentral:misc_RNA from 1 species
GAUGAAGAACGUAGCGAAACGCGAUAGUUAAUGUGAAUUGCAGAAUUCAGUGAAUCAUCGAGUCUUUGAACGCACAUUGCGCCCCCUGGUAUUCCGGGGGGCAUGCCUGUCCGAGCGUCAUUGCUGCCCUCAAGCCCGGCUUGUGUGUUGGGUCUCGUCCCCCUUCCCGGGGGGACGGGCCCGAAAGGCAGCGGCGGCACCGUGUCCGGUCCUCGAGCGUAUGGGGCUUUGUCACCCGCUCUGUAGGCCCGGCCGGCGCUUGCCGAUCAACCAAAACUUUUUUCCAGGUUGACCUCGGAUCAGGUAGGGAUACCCGCUGAACUUAAGCAUAUCAAUAAGCGGAGGA